GUUUGACCUCGGAUCAGGUAGGAAUACCCGCUGAACUUAAGCAUAUC
rnacentral:rRNA from 1 species